UGCGCGAGUAGCUCAGUUGGAUAGAGUAGCUGGCUACGAACCAGUUGGUCGGGGGUUCGAAUCCCUUCUUGCGCACCAA
rnacentral:tRNA from 1 species